AUAAUUGCCUCAUCAACAUAUACACUCAAAUUGGAAGGACAAAGAGAAGAUUAAUAAUAAGCCCCUGCACAAGGAUUACACAAAAAUCUGUGUAGUCUUUCAUAUUUUU